rnacentral:rRNA from 1 species
GAUGAACGCUGGCGGCGUGCCUAAUACAUGCCAGUCGAGCGAACAGACGAGGAGCUUGCUCCUUCGACGUUAGCGGCGGACGGGUGAGUAACACGUAGGUAACCUACCUAUAAGACUGGGAUAACUUCGGGAAACCGGAGCUAAUACCGGAUAAUAUUUCGAACCGCAUGGUUCGAUAGUGAAAGAUGGCUUUGCUAUCACUUAUAGAUGGACCUGCGCCGUAUUAGCUAGUUGGUAAGGUAACGGCUUAACAAGGCAACGAUACGUAGCCGACCUGAGAGGGUGAUCGGCCACACUGGAACUGAGACACGGUCCAGACUCCUACGGGAGGCAGCAGUAGGGAAUCUUCCGCAAUGGGCGAAAGCCUGACGGAGCAACGCCGCGUGAGUGAUGAAGGUCUUCGGAUCGUAAAACUCUGUUAUUAGGGAAGAACAAACGUGUAAGUAACUGUGCACGUCUUGACGGUACCUAAUCAGAAAGCCACGGCUAACUACGUG